rnacentral:rRNA from 1 species
UACGUAGGGUGCAAGCGUUGUCCGGAAUUAUUGGGCGUAAAGAGCUCGUAGGCGGUCUGUCGCGUCGGCUGUGAAAACUCGGGGCUCAACUCCGAGCUUGCAGUCGAUACGGGCAGGCUAGAGUUCGGCAGGGGAGACUGGAAUUCCCGGUGUAGCGGUGAAAUGCGCAGAUAUCGGGAGGAACACCGGUGGCGAAGGCGGUUCUCUGGGCCUGUACUGACGCUGAGGAGCGAAAGCGUGGGGAGCGAACAGG